GAUCAAGGUGGACUUUCCUCCACCGUACCGGGUUAAAGACAAAUCCGGCGAGAUCGCUAAACAUAUAUGUACAUUACCCCAAUCCCAAAGGGAUCAAAACUACAUUGAGAGCGCACUCUCGAAGAAACUAGUGAAACUAUGAGCGCGAACGCCCGGCGCUGCUCUUGGGCCGUCCGCCUCCCAGGUGACUCCACCGCGGAGCUUGAAGCCACCUGCUUCGCCUCGCCACUCCUCCACUCGAUCACAAUGAUGCCAAGCCAGACGAACACCAUGUCGAUCUAGCUCGACGUCGUCGCAGCCAAGCGGUCCAACUCGAGCACGAUGACCCAGCGUCGCUCAUGGGUCACUCGCCUCCAAGGUGACUCCACUGCACAAGCUGAAGCCACCUGUUACGCCCCAAGACGUGAUGCUGUGUCUUGGAGCGCCUACCUCCCCAG
rnacentral:lncRNA from 1 species